rnacentral:lncRNA from 1 species
ACAUCUUUGUUAUUCACUGUGGUAUAGUGUAUGUUGAUAGGAAGCUAAGUGUACUUGAUAGAUAAGUACGAAGAGGAUGUUAUGCCUUUUACAUGUAUAUUUAUAAGGAAUAUUUUGACUGUGUUGAAUUAGAUGAUGAUGAAUUGGACAAGUAUGUAUUACUUGAUAAUUUAAAAUAAGAUGUCUCGACUGUUAUAGGUUGUGGGGCACUACAGGAUAGAGGAAAUUACACGUAAGUCAUUUAAGUUGAGGAAAACACCCUUCAGGGUGAAUGAGUUAUUGCAUUGUAAUGUAAAUUCUAAUUGCUUGAGGUGUUGAUCUAGAUUUACUGAGCGUUUUAUGUCAAUCCUAUUAUUUAAUAUUGUUUUUCCAUAUCAAACGAAACAGGUGGGUGAUCCCGAUCCAAUCA